rnacentral:rRNA from 1 species
AUGAACGCUGGCGGCGUGCCUAAUACAUGCAAGUCGAACGGAGAUUGUAGCAAUACAUUCUUAGUGGCGAACGGGUGAGUAACGCGUUGGUGACCUGCCCCGAAGUGUGGGAUAACAGCUCGAAAGGGUUGCUAAUACCGCAUGUGGUUUUUCGGAUUAGAUGCCGAAUUUCUAAAGGAGAAAUUCGCUUCGGGAGGGGCCUGCGUCCCAUCAGCUAGUUGGUAGGGUAAUGGCCUACCAAGGCGAUGACGGGUAGGGGACCUGAGAGGGUGACCCCCCACAAUGGAACUGAAACACGGUCCAUACACCUACGGGUGGCAGCAGUAGGGAAUAUUGCACAAUGGACGAAAGUCUGAUGCAGCAACGCCGCGUGUGCGAUGAAGGCCUUCGGGUUGUAAAGCACUUUUAUGAGGGAAGAGCAAGGACUGUACCUCAUGAAUAAGGAUCGGCUAACUACGU